rnacentral:rRNA from 1 species
GACGAACGCUGGCGGCGUGCUUAACACAUGCAAGUCGAACGGAAAGGCCCUGCUUUUGUGGGGUGCUCGAGUGGCGAACGGGUGAGUAACACGUGAGUAACCUGCCCUUGACUUUGGGAUAACUUCAGGAAACUGGGGCUAAUACCGGAUAGGAGCUCCUGCUGCAUGGUGGGGGUUGGAAAGUUUCGGCGGUUGGGGAUGGACUCGCGGCUUAUCAGCUUGUUGAUGGGGUAGUGGCUUACCAAGGCUUUGACGGGUAGCCGGCCUGAGAGGGUGACCGGCCACAUUGGGACUGAGAUAAGGCCCAGACUCCUACGGGAGGCAGCAGUGGGGAAUAUUGCACAAUGGGCGGAAGCCUGAUGCAGCAACGCCGCGUGCGGGAUGACGGCCUUCGGGUUGUAAACCGCUUUCGCCUGUGACGAAGCGUGAGUGACGGUAAUGGGUAAAGAAGCACCGGCUAACUACGUG